rnacentral:rRNA from 1 species
AGAAUUUGAUCUUGGUCAGGAUGAACGCUAGCUACAGGCUUAACACAUGCAAGUCGAGGGGCAGCAGGACGAUAGCUUGCUAUUGUUGCUGGCGACCGGCGCACGGGUGAGUAACGCGUAUCCAACCUUCCCCUUAGUAGGGCAUAGCCCGGUGAAAAUCGGAUUAAUACCCUAUGUUGUGUCAUGAGGACAUCUGAAUAACACUAAAGAUUUUAUCGCUAAGGGAUGGGGAUGCGUCCGAUUAGGUAGUCGGCGGGGUAACGGCCCACCGAGCCCUCGAUCGGUAGGGGUUCUGAGAGGAAGGUCCCCCACACUGGUACUGAGACACGGACCAGACUCCUACGGGAGGCAGCAGUGAGGAAUAUUGGUCAAUGGGCGCGAGCCUGAACCAGCCAAAGUAGCGUGCAGGAUGACGGCCCUAUGGGUUGUAAACUGCUUUUAUACGGGGAUAAAGUGAGGGACGUGUCCCUUAUUGUAGGUACCGUAUGAAUAAGGACCGGCUAAUUCCGUGCCAGCCGCCGC